rnacentral:misc_RNA from 1 species
UGAGGGGGAGACCAUAGGCUUGUACCCAAAAGGGUGAAUGAGUGAAACCGAUUUCUUCAAAAGCAAUAUCUAAUGGCCAUUCUCGUAAAGAAAGAUGUUGGUUAUGGAUAUUCCAUGGUCUGUUUUCAAAGAUACACCUUGCAUCUAUUUCAUGUUCAAAAACAAACGGAAAAAAAUUCGGUGAUUUUGAGGUCACUUGAAAAUUCUUCCUAGUGUUAAAAGUUUUUUCCAGAGCUGCUCUAGUUGUUGCAACACUUAAAAUGUGACUUGAGAUGAGUUUCCCAACAAGAACACACUUUUGCCUUUCCUGAUUCUGUUCCUCAUUUGCAGUCAGUUGAAGAAUAACUUCUUGACAGUUGAGAUCUAGGCUCUAUUGAUUAAAUCCGGCACAUUCUUUUCUAAUUUUUCCAUAAGGUUAAGAAAUAGUUGGGCAAGAGUUAAGAAUAAGAAGAAAAAAAGGCUAGUAGAAAGUAAAUGAAAUGCAAGGUGAGUGGAAGAACUGUGGUAAUAAGCAGUAGAUAUAGAGAAGAUCGACGACAAGGAUCACGCAUUCACGAAGAUGAAAAACUUCCCCAAAAAAAUUACGAACAAGGGGCUAAACCCCAAAUAAAACUACCUAAGACCUCAAGAGCUGGCAACUCAUCAAGAGAGGGAAAGCGAGUUAGAUGGGCAUAUGUGGAAUCAUAAAUACAAAAUUUUAAGUUGAUACAAUAUUUUCUCCGUUUUAACCCGGUUGAUUCGGCCGGCAGCGGAUUAUCGGGCGUCGAGUCAUAUAGAUGUGCCGAACCGUUAAUGAGAGAAAAGAUUCAGGGCUCCGAUUCACCGCUACUCCUAUUCGCACCAUAUAACUCCACGUCACGCUUCUUCUUUCUUUCUGCUCCAAACGUUCAGAGGAACAACCAAAGAAGCCAAUUACAAUCUUCAACAAUGGCUUCUUCGACCAUCUUCUCUUUCAAUUUCAGGUUUUGCCCGCUACACUUUCCUACAACAGCCCGACUCUCUUAUGUGUCUGCUCACCUCUCGCCCUUCAAUAAGUUGAACAACUCACCCAGACUCAGUUCGAGUCAUAGCAUUUCUGGGUCUCUCUCGUUUUUCUCUCGAAAACCCUCUACUAUCUCUACUCUCACUCAGAGACUUCAAUCUCUUACAGUCACUGCUGCUAAAGGCUACAAAAUGAAAACCCACAAGGCAUCUGCGAAAAGAUUCAGGGUGACAGGUGGAGGAAAAAUAGUUCGGAGGAGAGCUGGGAAGCAGCAUUUGCUGGCCAAGAAGAACACCAAGAGGAAAUUACGACUCUCCAAAAUGCACCCAGUUAGCCGGAGUGACUAUGACAAUGUGAUUGGCGCUUUGCCAUAUCUCAAAGUAAAUACACAAGCAAAGUAGAGAUCAUUUCAUGAGUUAUGGGAAGACCUUCUCCGCUGGAUUUUAUUUAUUUAUUUAUUAUUUUUUAUUGCUUCUUGUAUGAAUAGACAAGUAAUCUUGAUGCCCUUAUUCUUCUAAUGCAGAAUUCAGUCAAGUUCCAUUGAAAUUUCAACAUUCGUUGAUCAUGUCACGCCGCAUUACCUCUUCUUCCACUCUACAGCUUGCAAGGAAUUACUUUGGCUGAAUUUCUUUUUUAUAGCAAUUUGUAUUUUGUAUUUGCUGUUUGUAGAGCUUUGCAAACUUUGAUAGCUAUAUUCAUUUAAGAAAUCUUCAAUGCGUUAAAUUGGAUGGAUAAGAGAGUCAAAUGGAGGCUUUUUAAUAUUUUUUAGAGUUCAUCUUCAAGAAGGG